UGACAGCCAGAAUCCCAAGGAUGCUGCAGUUGAGACAAUGAACCUUGAGAUAUGAUGUUAAAUAGCUACAGAUUUCUGUGCCCUGGCUCCUCCCCAUUGGGAACAUUGCAUGUGUUUGGAAAUCGGUCUGAUGAGUUAGAAGCUUCUGUGUUCACCUCCCGCAGUGCUAUGUCACGGCUGUGUGAAUACAAAGACUUGC